UGGAGCAUUCAGGAGGUGAUUAGGCCAUGAGGGCUGUGCUCUCAUGAAUCGAUUAGUGCCUUAUUAAAGGGCUUGAGGGGAUGAGUUCACCCCUUCUACCUGUUGUAUCAAGUGAAGAUGCAGCUUUUCUCACUUCCGAAGAAAACAGUGUCCAUGCCGCCAUCUUGAAAGCAGAGACCAGGUCCACACCAGGCACACCCAACCUGCCAGUACUUUGAUCUUGGAAUUUCCAACCUCCAGAAUGGCAAAUUCCUUGAUUCAAGGAGGAACACCAGGUGGCUGUCUGGGGGUCAUCAAAGGUGACCUGAAAAGCCCUUUUCUGCACUGGAGACAUGACGUUGGAACAAGGACAACAUCUCUAAUAUCAGGAAGGGUACCAGAGGUGACUUGCUGGGAGAAAAG
rnacentral:lncRNA from 1 species